rnacentral:rRNA from 1 species
UGGAAAGCGGCGGACGGGUGAGUAACGCGUAGGCAACCUACCCUUUGCAGAGGGAUAGCCUCGGGAAACCGGGAUUAAAACCUCAUGAAGCUGAGAGUCCGCAUGGGGAUUCAGCCAAAGAUUUAUCGGCAAAGGAUGGGCCUGCGUCUGAUUAGUUAGUUGGUGGGGUAACGGCCUACCAAGGCGACGAUCAGUAGCCGACCUGAGAGGGUGAUCGGCCACAUUGGAACUGAGACACGGUCCAAACUCCUACGGAAGGCAGCAG